rnacentral:rRNA from 1 species
UGGAAAGUUAAAGUCGUAACAAGGUCUCCGUUGGUGAACCAGCGGAGGGAUCAUU